rnacentral:rRNA from 1 species
UACGAAGGGGGCUAGCGUUGCUCGGAAUCACUGGGCGUAAAGGGUGCGUAGGCGGGUCUUUAAGUCAGGGGUGAAAUCCUGGAGCUCAACUCCAGAACUGCCUUUGAUACUGAAGAUCUUGAGUUCGGGAGAGGUGAGUGGAACUGCGAGUGUAGAGGUGAAAUUCGUAGAUAUUAGGAAGAACACCAGUGGCGAAGGCGGCUCACUGGAUCGGUACUGACGCUGAGGUGCGAAAGCGUGGGGAGCAAACAGG